rfam:Folsomia candida strain VT population Fcan01_Sc020, whole genome shotgun sequence.
GCCAUGAUAGUCUAGCGGUUAGGACCCCGCGUUGUGGCCGCGGUAACCCAGGUUCGAAUCCUGGUCAUGGCA